GAUGAACGCUGGCGGCGUGCCUAAUACAUGCAAGUCGAGCGAACGGACGAGAAGCUUGCUUCUCUGAUGUUAGCGGCGGACGGGUGAGUAACACGUGGAUAACCUACCUAUAAGACUGGGAUAACUUCGGGAAACCGUAGCUAAUACCGGAUAAUAUUUUGAACCGCAUGGUUCAAAAGUGAAAGACGGUCUUGCUGUCACUUAUAGAUGGAUCCGCGCUGCUUUGGCUAUAUGGUAAGGAAACGCCUUACCAAGGCAACGUUGCAUAGCCGACCUGAGAGGGGGAUCGCCCACACUGGACCUGAACAACGGCCCAGACUCCUACGGGAGGCAGCAGUAGGGAAUCUUCCGCAUUGGGCGAAAGCCUGACGGAGCAACGCCGCGUGGGUGAUGAAGGCCUUCGGAUCUUAAAACUCUGUUAUUAGGGAAGAACAUAUGUGUAAGUAACUGUGCACAUCUUGACGGUACCUAAUCAGAAAGCCACGGCCAACUACGUG
rnacentral:rRNA from 1 species